rnacentral:rRNA from 1 species
UACGGGGGGGGGUAAGCGUUGUUCGGAAUUACUGGGCGUAAAGGGCUCGUAGGCGGCCAACUAAGUCAGACGUGAAAUCCCUCAGCUUAACUGGGGAACUGCGUCUGAUACUGGAUGGCUUGGAUUCGGGAGAGGAAUGCGGAAUUCCAGGUGUAGCGGUGAAAUGCGUAGAUAUCUGGAGGAACACCGGUGGCGAAGGCGGCAUUCUGGACCGACAUUGACGCUGAGGAACGAAAGCUAGGGGAGCAAACAGG